rnacentral:rRNA from 1 species
CCUACGGGAGGCUGCAGUGGGGAAUAUUGGACAAUGGGCGAAAGCCUGAUCCAGCCAUGCCGCGUGUGUGAAGAAGGCCUUCGGGUUGUGAAGCACUUUCAGUGGGGAAGAAAGCCUUGGGGCUAAUACCCUCGAGGAAGGACAUCACCCACAGAAGAAGCACCGGCUAACUCCGUGCCAGCAGCCGCGGUAAUACGGAGGGUGCGAGCGUUAAUCGGAAUUACUGGGCGUAAAGCGCGCGUAGGCGGUCUGAUAAGCCGGUUGUGAAAGCCCCGGGCUCAACCUGGGAACGGCAUCCGGAACUGUCAGGCUAGAGUGCAGGAGAGGAAGGUAGAAUUCCCGGUGUAGCGGUGAAAUGCGUAGAGAUCGGGAGGAAUACCAGUGGCGAAGGCGGCCUUCUGGACUGACACUGACGCUGAGGUGCGAAAGCGUGGGUAGCAAACAGGAUUAGAUACCCGAGUAGUC